UGUGUAGGCGGUUGUUUAAGUUUGGUGUGAAAUCUCCCGGCUCAACUGGGAGGGUGCGCCGAAUACUGAAUGACUUGGAGUGCGGGAGAGGAAAGUGGAAUUCCUGGUGUAGCGGUGAAAUGCGUAGAUAUCAGGAGGAACACCGGUGGUGUAGACGGCUUUCUGGACCGUAACUGACGCUGAGACACGAAAGCGUGGGUAAGCAAACA
rnacentral:rRNA from 1 species